rnacentral:misc_RNA from 1 species
AAGUCGCAACAAGGUUUCCGUAGGGGUGUGUUUCUUCCUCAACUCCGGAGUCCAGCUAACAUUGACAGUGAACCUGCGGAAGGAUCAUUACCGAGUUUUCCUGCUUCAGGAACUCCCACCCUUGACCAUCCGACGUUGCUUCGGCGAGACGUUGGCAACAGCCGUUGGCGGAAGUCAAUUCUGCCGGCGCGGGCUCGCCGGAGUUUAACUCCAAAAUUUGUACUGUCAGAUAAACAAGCAAUAUAAAAAA